GACGAACGCUGGCGGCGUGCCUAAUACAUGCAAGUUGAGCGCUGAAGGCUGGUACUUGUACCAACUGGAUGAGCAGCGAACGGGUGAGUAACGCGUGGGGAAUCUGCCUUUGAGCGGGGGACAACAUUUGGAAACGAAUGCUAAUACCGCAUAAAAACUUUAAACACAAGUUUUAAGUUCGAAAGAUGCAAUUGCAUCACUCAAAGAUGAUCCCGCGUUGUAUUAGCUAGUUGGUGGGGUAAAGGCGCACCAAGGCGAUGAUACAUAGCCGACCUGAGAGGGUGAUCGGCCACAUUGGGACUGAGACACGGCACAAACUCCUACGGGAGGCAGCAGUAGGGAAUCUUCGGCAAUGGACGAAAGUCUGACCGAGCAACGCCGCGUGAGUGAAGAAGGUUUUCGGAUCGUAAAACUCUGUUGGUAGAGAAGAACGUUGGUGAGAGUGGAAAGCUCAUCAAGUGACGGUAACUACCCAGAAAGGGACGGCUAACUACGUG
rnacentral:rRNA from 1 species